UGGUGGUCGGGACGCUGGAAAGCGACUCGGUGGAGCGGGUGCUCGCCGACGGCGGCCGCCGCCACAGCGAGUCGCGCGGAGUAGCAACCGAAGACGGCGGCCGCCGCACCAGCCAGCGCGUGUGGAGGAUAAAUGGCCGGCACGGCCGUCGCGGUGAUCCGUCCAGGGAAAGAGUGAGCGAGGGCCAAGGCUCUCGUCUUAGCGAAGACAGACAAAGAAUCCGCGAGGAGAGCGACCGCCGCUGCCGGGUACCGACGGGAAGAGGAAGUGAAGACGUCGGCUUCUCCCGCGAUGACUCGAGAAGGGUCAGCGAAGACCUGGACCACGGCUGCAGCGUCUCUGAGGAGAGAGUCAGGGGAGACUGCGGCCACCGUCCCGGUAACUCUUGGGAGAGACUGAGGGGAGGCCUCAGCAGCGACGCGAGCUUCAGUGAAGUCGGAAGCCACCCGACUAGUGACUCGGGAUCCGUCAGAGACGACCGUGGCCUCCGCCUCGGCGGGACUUGGGACGAAGUCCGGGAGGUUCGGGGCCCCCGAGCCAGCGACUCGGGCGAGAGGGGCAGUGACGACCGCCGCCGCCGCCGCCGCCGCCUCAGUGGCUCUUGGGAGGGCGCGAGUGUGGAUGGCGGCCGCAGCCUCAGCAGUUCCUGGGAGGCGGUGAGUGAAGACCGCGGCUACUUGGCCAGCGACUCCUCCGCGGGGAGCGUCAGCGAAGACGCCAGCCGCCGCCGCUUCUGGGAGAGGGAAAGUGAGGGCGAAGGUUCCCGCUGCCGGGCCUCCUGGGGGAGGACGACGGAGGACGGCCGCCCCGGGCCUAGCGACGACGAGGGAGACAGCCGCUGCUGCAGUGGCUCGUGGGUGACAGCGAGCGAAGACCGCCGCAGCAGCGGGGGCCUGGACUCGACCCCGCCCCGGAGUCCGAGUCGCCGCACCAUGCCCGGGGUGUCCGAUUCGGGCCCGUCCACCUCCUCCACGGAGUCUGCGACCCCGUUAGGUGCCAGGAAGAAAGUGCAUUUUGGCAGCAUACACGAUGCAGUGCGUGCUGGAGAUGUAACGCAGCUUUCAGAAAUCGUACGCCGUGGCGCCAGCAUUAACGAAGUUGAUACUCUCCAUAAAUUUACCCCUUUACAUUGGGCAGCACAUUCUGGCAGUUUGGAGUGUCUUCAUUGGCUCCUCUGGCAUGGAGCUGAUGUCUCCCAAGUAACUGCGAGAGGCUGGACAGCAGCUCACAUAUCUGCUAUCAGGGGACAGGAUGCUUGCAUGCAGGCUCUUAUAAUCAACGGAGCCAACCUGGCAGCUCAAGAUGACCGUGGAUGCACUCCUUUACACCUUGCCGCAACACAUGGACAUUCUUUCACUUUACAAAUAAUGCUCCGAAGUGGCGUGGAUCCCAGCGUGACUGAUAAGAGAGAGUGGAAACCUGUGCAUUAUGCAGCUUUUCAUGGGCGGCUUGGCUGCUUGCAGCUUCUCGUGAAAUGGGGAUGUAGUGUAGAAGACGUGGACUACAACGGAAACCUUCCAGUUCACUUAGCAGCCAUGGAAGGCCACCUUCACUGUUUUAAAUUUCUACUCAGUAGAAUGAGCAGUGCCUCCCAAGGUCUGAAAGCCUUCAAUGAUAAUGGAGAAAAUGUAAUGGACCUGGCCCAGAGGUUCUUCAAGCAGAACAUUUUACAGUUUAUCCGGGGGGCUGAGUAUGAAGGAAAUGAUCCAACAGAUCAAGAAACUUUAGCAUUUCCAGGUCAUAUGGCUGCCUUUAAGGGUGAUUUGGAAAUGCUUAAGAAAUUAAUAGAAGAUGGAGUAAUUAAUAUUAAUGAACGUGAUAAUAAUGGAUCAACUCUUAUGCAUAAAGCUGCUGGGCAAGGCCACAUAGAGUGUUUGCAAUGGCUGAUUAAAAUGGGAGCAGACAAUAACAUUACCAACAAAGCGAGGGAGAAACCCAGUGAUGUGGCUAAGAGGUUUGCCCAUUUAGCAGCAGUAAAGCUAUUAGAAGGACUACAGAAAUAUGAUAUAGAUGACGAGAAUGAAAUUAAUGAAAAUGAUAUUAGGUUUUUUAUAAGACACGGUGUUGAGGGAAGCACUGAUGCCAAAGAUGAUUUAGGUCUCAGUGAGUCGGAUAGAACAGAUGCCAGAGGACUAUCAAAGAGCUGCAGGGCCAGCUCGAGUAUGAACGACUACGCAGAGAGAAGUUAGAAUGUCAGCUGGAUGAGUCUCGAGUGGAGGUGGAUCAGCUCAAGGAGAUGCUGGAAAAAACUCAGGUCCCCAGCUUUGUGGCUGUGGAAGAUGACAUUUCCUGUGAGUUAAGCAAAGAGAAGAGACGAGUGAAGAAGAAGGUGUCUUCUGGAGGAGUUUUUGUGAAAAGGUACUAAGAGAUAGCUUUAAAUAAACUUGCUUGAUUUUUUCUAUUUUUAAAUAGAUAUAAAUGUAAAUCUAUAUAAAUUCAUCUCAGAAUUACUCUGAUGUGCAGUUAUUCCAAUUCUGAAGGCAGAAAUAUAUUACAUAGUAUCAAAGGGAUUAAAAUUACAUGGACUCAGUUGUAUUUCCCCUCCCAAUAUACUUUUUAUAUAUUUAUGUAGGCAACUUAAAACUUUGUAUUUGUGAAUUAUUAAUUUUCCAAGUAUUUACAUAAACUUUAAAAUAUAAUGCAGUUAAUAAUAAAAAGGUUUACUUAUAGAUAUUAAAGAUUAUUAAAAGUUCUGUUAUGGCUUCAUAAUAAAUUAUAUUUCUUCUACUUUCUAGAGAGUACUAUCUUACCAGUGUAGGCAUAGCUUUUUUCCCCCCAACUUUUCAAAUGACUUUUUAAAAUUAAUUUAUUUUAUUGAGGUAUAGUUGAUACACAAUAUUUAUUUCUUCUGUACAACAAAGUGGUCCAGCUACAUAAAUAUACACCCAUUCUUUUUCAUAUUCUUUCCCGUUGUGGUUUAUUACAGGAUAUUGAAUAGUUUCCUGUGGUACACAGUAGUACAUUAUUGUCUACCCCUUCUGUCUAUAUAGAUAAUAGUUUGCAUCUGCCAGUCCCAAACUCCCAAUCCAUCCCUCUCCCACCCGUCCUUCCCUUGGCAACACAGGUUUAUUCUAUGUUGGUGAGUCUGUAUCUGCGUCAUAGUUAAGAUCAUUUGUGUCAUAUAUGUACAUUCCACAUAUAAGUGACAUGUCUCUAGCAUGCUUCAUUUAGUAUGAUAACUUCUAGGUUCAUCCAUGUUGCUGCAAAUGGCACUAUUCCAUUCUUUUUUAUAGCUGAGUAGUGAAGCCGUUCAUUUGCUGGUAGACACUUGUUUCCACAUCUUGGUGGUUGUGAAUAGGAUUGCUGUGAACAGAGAGGGGUAUGCACCUUUCUGAAUUAUAGUUUUGUCUGCCUGUAUGCCCAGGGAUGGGGUCGCUGGAUCAUAUGGCAACUCUAGUUUUUUGAGGAACCUCCAUACUGUUUUCCAUAGUGGCUGCACCAAUUUGCAUUCCCACCAAGA